CACGGCGACUAAUCUGAAGUGUAUAUAUGUGAUAUAAGGUGACUGUACCAAAUCACUUCCCCACCCCCAAUACCUAAUAGAGUAAGUGAGAUGCCCCUACUCCAAGGAAAAUUUGAUCGUCUUCCACAUUGGCAGAAGGAAACCAGCAGAAGGUAAAUUGACAGGAAAAUUUGAUCGUCUUCCACAUUGGCAGAAGGAAACCAGCAGAAGGUAAAUUGACAG